rnacentral:lncRNA from 1 species
CAAAGACCCACUUAGGUGUCCCCUCUCUCCGCAGAAGAGAGAGCUUUUCCCUUUCUCUCUGUUAAACCUCUUCUCUUAAACUCACUUCUUGCGUGUCCUCGUCCUCGAUUUCCUUGGCGUAAGACGACGAACCUCAGGCAUUUACCCCAGACAACGAAGGUGCUUCAUAAGGUCAUGCAGCUGGUAUUGUCAAAUGUCAAAAGAUCGCAUAUGGGCUGGUGACACGGCUCACAUCUGUAAUCCCAGCUCUUUGAGAGGCUGAGGCAGAAGGAUCACUUCAGCCCAGGAGUUUGAGACCAGCCUGGACAACAUGGCAAGACCUCAUUUCUACAAAAA